rnacentral:rRNA from 1 species
GGGGGACUGACAGCUUGCUAGUUGCUGACGAGCGGCGGACGGGUGAGUAACGCGUAGGAAUCUGCCCGGUAGCGGGGGAUAGCCCAGAGAAAUUUGGAUUAAUACCGCAUACGCCCUACGGGGGAAAGCAGGGGAUCUUCGGACCUUGCGCUAUCGGAUGAGCCUGCGUCGGAUUAGCUAGUUGGUGGGGUAAUGGCCUACCAAGGCGACGAUCCGUAGCUGGUCUGAGAGGAUGAUCAGCCACACCGGAACUGAGACACGGUCCGGACUCCUACGGGAGGCAGCAGUGGGGAAUAUUGCACAAUGGGCGCAAGCCUGAUGCAGCCAUGCCGCGUGUGUGAAGAAGGCCUUCGGGUUGUAAAGCACUUUCAGUAGGGAGGAAAGGUUGUAGAUUAAUACUCUGCAGCUGUGACGUUACCUACAGAAGAAGCACCGGCUAACUCCGUGCCAGCAGCCGCGGUAAUACGGAGGGUGCAAGCGUUAAUCGGAAUUACUGGGCGUAAAGCGCGCGUAGGCGGCUUGUUAAGCCAGGUGUGAAAGCCCCGGGCUCAACCUGGGAACUGCAUUUGGAACUGGCAGGCUAGAGUACAGAAGAGGGUGGUAGAAUUUCCUGUGUAGCGGUGAAAUGCGUAGAUAUAGGAAGGAAUACC